AGACAGAGAAAGACUGACUGAAAACUCGCAUCUGCUGGUUCACACUCCAAAUGCCUGAAACGGCAAGGGUUGGGACUUGGCUGGAUCCAGUGGCAGGGAACACAAUCCAAGAAUCCAAUUACUUGAUCCUUCACUGCAGCACCCCAGAAUCUGCAUUGCCAAGAAGCUGGAGUCCAGAACCCAAGCCAGGAAGCAAAUCCAAGCAUUCUGAUGAUGCACAUUAACUGGACGUUGGACUUGGAAGUGGAGCUCGGACUUGAACCCAGGGAGACUAAAUGGAAUAUAUGGAGACUUUUGCCCAGGCCUAAUCUUCUGAAAAAUCCAGGAAUGCUUUCAGUAAAUAAAACAGUGAACGCUACUUAGAAAAUUUUAAAUCUAAAAUAAUUUAAAAAUGAAAUAAAACUGAAAAUAUAAUAAAUGUGUGAGGAAAUCCAGGCAAGGCAAACUGCAAUAUUUUCACAAUAAUUGAGACAUGUUAUCUUACACUGUCUGGUUACUGAUAUUAACAUGUAUACAAAUACAGAUAUGGUACUUCUCCAAACCCA